UUUAAGUUUGCAGAUCAUCCAUAGUAG
rnacentral:piRNA from 1 species